UACGUCUGGUUCAGGGUUGUUUAUAAAUACUACAGUGUGGCUUGUGACGCUGUUUGUCGAACGAUGCUUACAUUUAGUGUGAUCCUCGUUCUAGAUGAGAAAUAUAUUGCAACAUGUAUCUUGGUGCAAUCCAAGAAGCACGGAUGUCGUGACCUCGUUGUCACUGUCAAAGCGUUCAGCGACUAAGAAUGCUUUGGCGGGGCCUGUAUGACAACUGCGGUUUCAUGUCAUUUGCAAUGCAACCUGAGCUCAGUCGUGAUUACCCGCUGAACUUAAGCAUAUCACUUAGCGGAGGAAAAGAAACUAAA
rnacentral:rRNA from 1 species